AAAACUUUCAACAACGGAUCUCUUGGUUCCAGCAUCGAUGAAGAACGCAGCGAAAUGCGAUAACUAAUGUGAAUUGCAGAAUUCAGUGAAUCAUCGAGUCUUUGAACGCACAUUGCGCCCCUCGGUAUUCCGGGGGCAUGCCUGUUCGAGCGUCAUUG
rnacentral:rRNA from 1 species